AUACGGAGGGGGCUAGCGUUGUUCGGAAUUACUGGGCGUAAAGCGCGCGUAGGCGGAUUGGUCAGUUAGGGGUGAAAUCCCAGGGCUUAACCCUGGAACUGCCUCUAAUACUGCCAGUCUUGAGUUCGGGAGAGGUGAGUGGAAUUCCUAGUGUAGAGGUGAAAUUCGUAGAUAUUAGGAAGAACACCAGUGGCGAAGGCGGCUCACUGGCCCGAUACUGACGCUGAGGCGCGAAAGCGUGGGGAGCAAACAGGAUUAGAUACCCUAGUAGUCC
rnacentral:rRNA from 1 species